AGAACGAACGCUGGCGGCAUGCCUAAUACAUGCAAGUCGAACGAAGGCUUCGGCCUUAGUGGCGCACGGGUGCGUAACGCGUGGGAAUCUGCCCCUUGGUUCGGAAUAACAGUUGGAAACGACUGCUAAUACCGGAUGAUGACGAAAGUCCAAAGAUUUAUCGCCAAGGGAUGAGCCCGCGUAGGAUUAGCUAGUUGGUGAGGUAAAGGCUCACCAAGGCGACGAUCCUUAGCUGGUCUGAGAGGAUGAUCAGCCACACUGGGACUGAGACACGGCCCAGACUCCUACGGGAGCAGCAGUAGGGAAUAUUGGACAAUGGGCGAAAGCCUGAUCCAGCAAUGCCGCGUGAGUGAUGAAGGCCUUAGGGUUAGUAAAGCUCUUUACCCGAGAUGAUAAUGAACAGUAUACGGGAGUAAAUAACGGCCCCGGAUAAACCUCCGUGACCCAGCCAAGCCGAC
rnacentral:rRNA from 1 species